rnacentral:rRNA from 1 species
GCCNUNGGGUNGUAAAGCUCUUUCGCCUGUGAAGAUAAUGACUGUAGCAGGUAAAGAAACCCCGGCUAACUCCGUGCCAGCAGCCGCGGUAAUACGGAGGGGGUUAGCGUUGUUCGGAAUUACUGGGCGUAAAGCGCGCGUAGGCGGACUGGAAAGUUGGGGGUGAAAUCCCAGGGCUCAACCCUGGAACUGCCUCCAAAACUAUCAGUCUAGAGUUCGAGAGAGGUGNGUGGAAUUCCGAGUGUAGAGGUGAAAUUCGUAGAUAUUCGGAGGAACACCAGUGGCGAAGGCGGCUCACUGGCUCGAUACUGACGCUGAGGUGCGAAAGUGUGGGGAGCAAACAGGAUUAGAUACCCUGGUAGUCCACACCGUAAACGAUGAAUGCCAGUCGUCGGGUAGCAUGCUAUUCGGUGACACACCUAACGGAUUAAGCAUUCCGCCUGGGGAGUACGGUCGCAAGAUUAA